AUCCAGCCGACGAGUCCCAAGUAGGACGAAACGCGAGUCCUAGAU
rnacentral:hammerhead_ribozyme from 1 species